AUUGAACGCUGGCGGCAUGCCUAACACAUGCAAGUCGAACGAGUGGCGGACGGGUGAGUAAUGUCUGGGAAACUGCCUGAUGGAGGGGGAUAACUACUGGAAACGGUAGCUAAUCCCGCAUACCAUCAGAUGUUCCCAGAGGGGCUUAGCUAGUUGGUGGGGUAACGGCUCACCAGGGCGACGAUCCCUAGCUGGUCUGCGAGGAUGACCAGCAACAUUGGAACGGAGACAGGGACCAGACUCCUACGGGAGGCAGCAGUGGGGAAUAUUGCACAAUGGGCGCAAGCCUGAUGCAGCCAUGCCGCGUGUAUGAAGAAGGCCUUCGGGUUGUAAAGUACUUUCAGCGGGGAGGCGUUACCCGCAGAAGAAGCACCGGCUAACUCCGUGCCAGCAGCCGCGGUAAUAC
rnacentral:rRNA from 1 species